AUUGAACGCUGGCGGCAGGCUUAACACAUGCAAGUCGGGCGGAAACGAAGGUAGCUUGCUACCAGGCGUCGAGCGGCGAACGGGUGAGUAACGCGUAGGAAUCUACCUAAUAGAGGGGGAUAGCCCGGGGAAACUCGGAUUAAUACCGCAUACGCCCUACGGGGAAAGCAGGGGAUCUUCGGACCUUGCGCUAUUAGAUGAGCCUGCGUCGGAUUAGCUAGUUGGUAGGGUAAAGGCCUACCAAGGCGACGAUCCGUAGCUGGUCUGAGAGGAUGAUCAGCCACACUGGAACUGAGACACGGUCCAGACUCCUACGGGAGGCAGCAGUGGGGAAUAUUGGACAAUGGGGGCAACCCUGAUCCAGCCAUGCCGCGUGUGUGAAGAAGGCCUGGUUGUAAGUACACUUCUAGUAGGAGGAA
rnacentral:rRNA from 1 species